GACGAACGCUGGCGGCGUGCUUAACACAUGCAAGUCGAACGGAAAGGCCCUGCUUUUGUGGGGUGCUCGAGUGGCGAACGGGUGAGUAACACGUGAGUAACCUGCCCUUGACUUUGGGAUAACUUCAGGAAACUGGGGCUAAUACCGGAUAGGAGCUCCUGCUGCAUGGUGGGGGUUGGAAAGUUUCGGCGGUUGGGGAUGGACUCGCGGCUUAUCAGCUUGUUGGUGGGGUAGUGGCUUACCAAGGCUUUGACGGGUAGCCGGCCUGAGAGGGUGACCGGCCACAUUGGGACUGAGAUACGGCCCAGACGCCUACGGGAGGCAGCAGUGGGGAAUAUUGCACAAUGGGCGGAAGCCUGAUGCAGCAACGCCGCGUGCGGGAUGACGGCCUUCGGGUGGUAAACCGCUUUCGCCUGUGACGAAGCGUGAGUGACGGUAAUGGGUAAAGAAGCACCGGCUAACUACGUG
rnacentral:rRNA from 1 species